UACGUAGGGUGCGAGCGUUAAUCGGAAUUACUGGGCGUAAAGCGUGCGCAGGCGGUGAUGUAAGCCAGGUGUGAAAUCCCCGGGCUUAACCUGGGAACUGCAUUUGUGACUGCAUCGCUGGAGUGCGGCAGAGGGGGAUGGAAUUCCGCGUGUAGCAGUGAAAUGCGUAGAUAUUCGGAGGAACACCGAUGGCGAAGGCAAUCCCCUGGGCCUGCACUGACGCUCAUGCACGAAAGCGUGGGGAGCAAACAGG
rnacentral:rRNA from 1 species